rnacentral:lncRNA from 1 species
GCCCCGCCCACCCAUCGCCUUUGCCACCCUCGAACGGGCAAAAGAAAGAAAGAGGCAGCCACCCUCGCCCCCGCCAAAACAAACAGACAAAAAACUGUCAUUCUCAUAUGACCACGGACUCUGCGCCCCGGCCGCAGGCGGAGGACAGGGAGGAGCGCACACGAGAAAGCUCCCACGCGCCCGCGCCUCGCCUCCGACGGGAAGGCGCCUCUUCCGACCGUCCUGGAUGCAAAUUAAAUACUUCCCUCCGCAGAAGACUUAUCUCGGGGUAGGGCCGCAGCCGGAUUUCCAAAUCGCGGGUUUGAUUUUCGCUGCGUCCUCUCCGCGACGCGCGCAGGGAGCGCGCCCGGCCACCUGCAGCCUCUGGCUGCGGCCAUCUUUCCGCCUGGGGCCACCUGGCCUGCGCCCUUUGUGCCCGGCCCGCUCCGUGACUGUUCUUCUUGCCGCUACUUACAGAACUCAGCCGCCUUAGCGUCUUAGAGAAGAGGACGGCAUGCAUGCGGACCCCGUCCACCACACCUGGAGAGCAGGGAGCCCUUAGUCCCUGGACACUUACCAGGGCCGCCACCCCUGGUCCACGCACGUGAUGACAUCUCACCAGGGGCAGCACACCGCCCGAGUCCGCGACACUGAUAACACCUCCUGCGGGCAGGAGGGCGCCACAGCCACCCCUGGUCCCCUAGAUUGUGUGAGGCUAGCAUUUCUGCCCGCCUCUUGGCGUGGACAGCACGCUGGACCGAGAUGGAACCACAGCUUUCUCUUCCCAAUCCCUGGCCUCACCGUUUUGUUUCAUACCUCACCGUUUGUUUCAAACCUCGUGGUGUUGAAAUGAUUAAAUGAGAUUAAGGGGUGUGUGGUAGUGUUGGGCAAACCACAAGAAAACGGUCUGGGUGGGGUCUGGCCCUAAAAUCUUCCUCCCCCACCUCCCAGGCUUCCUUGCCUUGCUGCUUCCUCUCAGCCUUUAAACAGGUUGGCCUCUCCAAGUCCUAAAAACAAAAUUAUCAAGCCAACCUCCUCCUGAAGUGCUCCCUCCAACUAGCUUCCAAGUGUUUCAUGCGGACCUCAAACAAUGGUCUUCCCUGGCUGCCUCUGCUUCCUCAUUUCUCAACACUUGGCAUUCUGGCUUCUCCUCCCCAACUCUAACCCUUCACCUUGCUCAGGCAAGAGCAACUCAUGACUUUCAUUUUGCCAAACCUUGCAGGCAUUCCUCAGGCCUUAUCUCUCUGGUUCUUUCUGCUACAUUUGACACCUUGGGAUGACUCUCACCUUCUGGAAUCUCUCUACUACCUUGGUUUCAGAAGAGUGAACCCUCUGGAUUAUCACAUGAAGCUACUUCCUGUGAGCAGCCCAGGGAUGGCCAGUCACUUGUGACCUACUUUCAGAGCUGGCAGUUCUGACUUCUAGAACAAACUCGGAACAAGCCCAUCUACAGCUGGUUGACUGAGUUUCCUUUGGGCUCCUGGCACCAGAAAGAAUUGCUCACUGGAAGGAUCAUAGGUGGCACUCAUGUCUCACUGCCCCACUCAGCUUGCCUGUGUGGACUCCUGCCUGCUCUCUGUGCCAGGAUCCCGUGACAUGAAACAGAAUAAGUGCUUCAUAAACGGGAGUGACACUAGGCGUGGUGGCAUGCAUCUGGAGUCCUAGCUACGCGGGAGGCUGAGGCAGGAGGAUUGCCUGAGCCUAGGAGUUGGAGGCUCUAAUGCACUUGGAUAGCACCUAUGAAUAGCCAGUGCCCUCCAACCUGGGCAACAUAGUGAGCUCUUGUCACCAAAAAAAAAAAAAAAAAAGCUAGAAGAGAAUAAUUUGAAUAUUUCUAGCACAAAGAAAAGACAAAUAUUUAAGAUAAUGGAUAGCCCAGUUACACAGAUUUGAUCUUUACAAAUUAUAUGAAUGUAUUAAAUUAUCAUGGCUGGGUGCAGUGGCUCACACUUGUAAUCCCAGCACUUUUGGAGGCUGAGGUGGGUGGAUCAUCUGCGGUCAGGAGUUCCAGACCAGCCUGGCAAACACGGCAAACAUGUACUAAAAAUACAAAAAAUUAGCCAAGUGUGGUGGCAGGCACCUGUAAUCCCAGCAACUCAGGAGGCCGAGGCGGGAGAAUUGCUUGAACCUGGGAGGCAGAGUGCUUGCAGUGAGCCGAGACCGCACCACUGCUUUGUAGCCUGGGCAACAGAGUGAGAUGCCAUUUCAAUAAUAAUAAUAAACUAUCACAUGUAACCCCCAAAUAUGUACAUCAUUGUGUAUCAAUAAAAAUAAAUAAAUGUGAAUAAAUGACUGAGAGUAUGAAUAAUGCCAUCCCUCCAGCGCCCUUGCACUGUGGUUCUCCAGCACCUGCUACUUAGGUUUCUUCAGAUACCAGCUGCUCUGGGAGCUAUACCUUGUUUCAGGAUCUCAGUCACUGCCUUCAGCAGCCCACUAUCUGAUCCAAGCAGCCAUGGAUUCUCUUUUGUAUCCAGUCACUCCUGUACCCUCUUCCCUUUUAGGUUUUGCUACUGUCUUCAAACUUGCUUUGAAGAUUUGAGCUCCUGUGUCACCAGGUCACCCUCAGAGGCAUCAGGACAUGCUCUUCAAGUAAAGUCCAAAUGAGGGAUUAGACACUCUGGGCUUCAUUUCUCAGUGUCCUCUCUCAAGAGCUAGACUAUUACUUGCAUUUCUCAUCUCCUUGAAUCAUCAGCGCCUGGUGCUAUCAUUUAAAAUAGGGAAAGUUAUGAACUGGGUUAAAUUUUUUUUUUUUUUUUGAGAUAGAAUGUCACUUUGUUGCCCAGGCUAAAGUACAGUGGUGCAAUCUUGGUUCACUGCAACCUCCACCUCCCGAGUUCAAGCAAUUCUCCUGCCUCAGCCUCCCAAGUAGCUGGGAUUACAGGUGUUCACCACCAUGCCUGGCUAGUUUUUGUGCUUUUAGUAGAGACAGGGUUUCACCAUGUUGGCCAGGCUGGUCUCGAACUUAUGACCUCAAGUGAUCUGCCCGCCUCAGCCUCCCAAAGUGCUGGGAUUACAGGCGUGAGCCACCACACCCGGCCUCAAAAAAUAUUUUUUUAGAAAGAAAAAAGAAAGAAACAAAAACAAAUAAAAUAGGGAAAGAUGAUUAGUAAGUCUCUUCCUUUCCAGGGCCUUAGUUUUCCUACCUGUAAAAUACAGAGCAUGGUAUUUUUGGAGUCCAUGAAUCCACCAAGCACAGUAUCAUCUUUGCAUGGUGCUUUAAAGUAUAUAAAACAUUUUAGACAAACAAGAUCUUAUUUAACAAAAAAAUGCCCAAUAAAUGUUUGCUAACAGAAAUGAUAAUGCUGAUUCUGUGUGAGCUGAAAGAAGCCUGUUGAAGGUGAAUGUGUCGUCUAUCAUUAAGUCUGAGGACCAAUUAAAGUUAAAACAAGUAUGAGUCACUAAAUGUUAGAAUUAAUUUUGAAUCCCUUAGUUUAAUUCCUACAUGUUGUCAAUGCCUGAGGGAAAUGGUCUAGCCACAGGUGCCAGCUCAUAAGAAACGGGAAGGCCAGGUACGGUGGCUCACACCUGCCAUCCCAUCAUUUUGGGAGGCUGAGGCCAGCAGAUCAUUUGAGGCCAGGAGUUUGAGACCAGCCUGUGCAAUGUAGGGAGAUCUCUACAAAAAAGUAAUUAGCCAGACAUGGUGGUAUGCACCUGCAGUCCCCGCUGUUUGAGAGGCUGAGGCAGGAGGAUCACAUGAGCCUAGAAGUUCGAGGCCGCAGUGAGCUAUGAAUGCACCAUUGCACUCCAGCCUGAGCAAUAGAGUGAGACCUUGCCUCAAAAAUUAAAAAAUAAAAUAAAUAUAAAAAUAAAACAAGAGAGAGAGGGCACCGUCUCUGUGGUACUAUUUGGCUGUGUUACAUAACUGGCAUUUUAUUUGGAAAAAAAAAAUGUCCUCCAAGGGGUUCAUUUCCUCAGAUCAAAUGUCAUUCCAGGUGUUGGUAUGCAUUCGACGCGUGCAUUCUUCAGCCCUGGUUAUUCUGUUUUAUUUUAUGUAAAACUCUAUUUCAAAAUACAG